UUAUAAUAAUAAUAAAAGCAGACGAUUGAGAACCUCCUUUUUUCUGAAGUCGGUUAAUAAACUAAAUGUCGAAAGACAACGGUCGCCUGAGCCGGCUGGGCGUGCUGGCGCCGGCGGCCCUGAGCGCCUGCAUGGAUGCUUCAGUGCUGGCCGUGCCCACUGCUGGAGCCAUCAUCUCUACAGUCCUCAAGGAGCUCAGCAAGGCCUUCAUGCUGAAGAAAUGGUUCCACGGCAGCAUGUCGGCCAAGGAGGCGGAGGUGCUGAUGAUGGAGAGGGGCAAGAACGGCUCGUUCCUGGUGCGCGAGUCGAAGACCCACCCCGGGGACUUCGUGCUCACCGUGCGGGUCAGGGGCCGCGUCAACCACGUCAAGAUUAAUAAAGAGAACAACAAGUACGACGUGGGCAGCGGCGAGAGGUUCGACGACCUGGUGGGGCUGAUCGAGCACUUCCGCAAGUACCCCAUGGUGGAGGUGGACGGCGACGUGCUGCGGCUGCUGCAGCCGGUCAGCGGCACCACGCUGAAGCCCACGGAGAUACAGGACAAGCUGGACGGGCUACAGAAUAGCAAAGAUUUACAAGAUAAUGAGCAAGAGUGUGCGUUGGACGGAGAGUUCCAGUCAUUGCAGUUGCUGGACAACCUCAACUUCUUCACUACCAAAGAAGGCUCUAAGCAAGAAAACGCUUGUAAGAACAGAUACAGGAAUAUUCUACCUUAUGACCAAACCAGAAUAGUGUUAAGAAGGAAAGAUGAGAAAGCCGCAUGUAGUGACUACAUCAACGCUAGCUACAUCACGACCCCAAGACUGAUCGACACUCCCAGCUCCUCGUCCAAUGAAAGCCUUAACAGUGUGCGUUCGUUACGGAGUGAACCGAAGCCAAAGAAAAAAGUUUUCGUUUUUAAAUCCUUGUCCGAUGACGCGUUGAAGGAAGCUAAACGAUGUUUCAAAUUGGAUAAAAUUAACGGAAAUUCGGCAAAACAGAAAACUUACAUUGCUACCCAGGGCUGCUUGUCAAAUACAAAGGAAGACUUCUGGAGGAUGGUGUGGCAGGAAAACGUCAGGGUCAUCGCCAUGAUCACCAACGAAGUCGAGAAAGGAAAGAGAAAAUGCGAGAGAUACUGGCCUCAUCCUUGUGAACAAGAGAUCUACGACAGCCUCACAGUGAAGUCAAUAAGCGAAAACUACCAUGAAGAUUAUUUAGUCCGAGAACUAGAAGUCAGAGACGAGAAAAAAUCUUGUCGGACAAUUUAUCAAUAUCAGUUCACGGCCUGGCCCGACCACGGGAUCCCCGCAUCCGCGGCCGGCGUGCUCGCCUUCAUGGAAGACAUCAACACCAAAUUAAAUAAAACCUUACAAAGCAAAAACGGACCGGAUCAGAACGUGAUAUGCGUGCAUUGUUCGGCGGGAGUGGGAAGGACAGGCACUUUCAUCGUAUUGGACAUUCUCAUCGACAAAAUUAAAGCUUUCGGAUACGAGUGUGACAUCGACGUGUACAACACGGUGAGGACGCUGCGAGGACAGCGCGGCGGCAUGGUGCAGAACAAGGCGCAGUACAGGUUCAUCUACCAGGCGCUCAGACACUACGUGGAGGAGAGGCCGCUACGGUAUAUCAGUAAGGUACGAGUGUGACAUCGACGUGACAACACGGUGAGGACGCUGCGAGGACAGCGCGGCGGCAUGGUGCAGAACAAGGCGCAGUACAGGUUCAUCUACCAGGCGCUCAGACACUACGUGGAGGAGAGGCCGCUACGGUAUAUCAGUAAGGUACGAGUGUGACAUCGACGUGACAACACGGUGAGGACGCUGCGAGGACAGCGCGGCGGCAUGGUGCAGAACAAGGCGCAGUACAGGUUCAUCUACCAGGCGCUCAGACACUACGUGGAGGAGAGGCCGCUACGGUAUAUCAGUAAGGUACGAGUGUGACAUCGACGUGACAACACGGUGAGGACGCUGCGAGGACAGCGCGGCGGCAUGGUGCAGAACAAGGCGCAGUACAGGUUCAUCUACCAGGCGCUCAGACACUACGUGGAGGAGAGGCCGCUACGGUAUAUCAGUAAGGUCUAUUCCAUUGAAGUCUAGCCGUAGCUGUGCCUCCGAUAACCUUCAUACUAGAAGUAAUAAUCUAUUAUCUAGGACUUUUAACAUUAGAAAGCAUAAUUAUGUUCAGAGUUUAAUGUGACUGAUUUAAAGAUUGAAACUGUAUUAUCUCAUAGCUUUUAUAUACCAAUCAUAUAUUUUGUAAGUUUUGCAAUCAUAAUGUAAUUUAUUUGUAAAUGUAUGUUACUACGGCAAGGUUCGUAAUGGCUUAUUGUUGUAACUUUCAUGAUGAAGCCAAGAGUAGGUUUUUUCUUAUCUAAGUUGUGAAUGUAAUUUCAUUAAAGAAUUAAUUUAAGGUUCUAAAUAAAUAUUUUAUGAAAAAGUUGUAUGUUUAUUGGCAGCUUUCAACUUUUUCCACUGCGUCAUACAAAAGAGUUCAACGGGGGACCGCUAAGAAUUCGUAGCUCGCUACAAAGUUUUGGUACCUGAUUUUGUGGUCGUUGGUCCCGUGCAGUAAAUUUUGACUUGCACUAUAUUUUAAAGUUAAUCUUUAAAAUAAUUUAUCAAACAUAGUAGACAAACAAUCAAAGUCUUUACUGAAUUUUUUGAAUCAUAUAUAUUUCACAAUAAAACAUAUAUAUAUCUAACUAUUUUUGCAUGUAACUAAGCUUUACUAAGAUAUUAUAAGUAAAAUUUAAAUUACAUAAAACAAUUUAAUAACAAACGUAAGGUAUGAAGCUUUCAGCUUUACCAAAUGCUGCCAAGUCCUUGAACUCAGCGGCAUAACUAAGUAGGUAUCACAUAACAUUAAUACAAAAACAGUUCUCUUAGUACUUGAAACUUAAUAAUACCUAAAUUAAACUGCAACAUACAUACAUAAUAAUAAUAAAUUUAAUCAUCUUAAUGUUUAACAAUAAUAUAAUUAUAAUAAUCAUAUUUGCGAUACAUCAAAAAACAAACUUGUGAAGUGUUACAGCUUUUAUAUAACCUACAUAUAUAUAUUUAUGUAUGACUGCCUCGAAAUUUUGGCACAAUUCAAUAUUGUAAUAAAAUGUAGAAGGUAGUUGCAAUAGGGAAUAUGCAUAAACUUUUUUAUAUUCUUAUUCGAUAGAUUUACAUUGCUUUAUUCUAGUAUAAAUAAAUUCAACGCCAAAAAAAGUAAUUUAUGGUACUUUAAAGAAAGUUAAAAAUUUAUAACCGACACGACCACAUAAAACACACAAAACUUGUGUGACGUCAUCACUUCGUUAUUCAGCUCAGAGUAAUGAGUUUCUCCAGUCGCGCGGACGCUCAGUUCUAUGGGCAUAGAUUAUUCUGAGAUUGACAUAUCAACAUUGUUUACGUCACAUUCGCUCUAUGAAAAGGCAUCAAGUUUCAAAGAUUUGAAUUUACGAAAGUUUUUUGUACUUUUCAACAAUUAUUUACUCGGUCAAAAAUAAAUUAUAAUCAAAAAUAUUGAUAGAGGCAUAAUUUUGAAAUAACCAAGUUUAUU